rfam:Cryptococcus dejecticola CBS 10117 unplaced genomic scaffold supercont1.3, whole genome shotgun sequence.
UCGACAUGAUGCGAUCUAUAUAUUUGCUACUUCAGAGGGGUGAAACAGACCCGAUGAGACAAUUUUAUCCACCAAGAUCUCUGAUCCA